rnacentral:rRNA from 1 species
AGUGAACGCUGGCGGUAGGCCUAACACAUGCAAGUCGAACGGCAGCACAGUAAGAGCUUGCUCUUACGGGUGGCGAGUGGCGGACGGGUGAGGAAUACAUCGGAAUCUACUUUUUCGUGGGGGAUAACGUAGGGAAACUUACGCUAAUACCGCAUACGACCUACGGGUGAAAGCAGGGGAUCUUCGGACCUUGCGCGAUUGAAUGAGCCGAUGUCGGAUUAGCUAGUUGGCGGGGUAAAGGCCCACCAAGGCGACGAUCCGUAGCUGGUCUGAGAGGAUGAUCAGCCACACUGGAACUGAGACACGGUCCAGACUCCUACGGGAGGCAGCAGUGGGGAAUAUUGGACAAUGGGCGAAAGCCUGAUCCAGCCAUACCGCGUGGGUGAAGAAGGCCUUCGGGUUGUAAAGCCCUUUUGUUGGGAAAGAAAGGCAGCAGGUUAAUACCCCGCUGUUCUGACGGUACCCAAAGAAUAAGCACCGGCUAACUUCGUG